CCUCUCACUCACAGGACUGGAUUAAAGUAAUUGGAGGCUUUUGGCCCAUGUUAUCCCAAUUCAGACAGGCAGAAAAGGUUGAGGAAUGGAAGGGAGGAGCAGGUUUCAAACCUGAAACUUCUGGUCCCUGGCUGUUCAAAAUCCAGAACUGGAAACUGAAUUUUGCAGCUUUUCUGUCAGACCUCAUUGAAACAUUUAAAGCUCAAGAUUCAGACUCCAAGGGCGCAUCCAGAUGAGUACGUGUGCACUUUGCAGUGUCUCAAAGGCUUUUGAGAUGCCACAAAAUGCAUGUGGCACACAUCAAAAGGUUUUCCACACUGGGAUUUCCCGGCACCUGAAAAAAGUCCCCCCCAAAAGCAGAUGGUGCACAUGGCUGCAGUCUGGCCAGCCGCCCUGGCUGCCCACACUCCAGCUGCCAGGUAGGGGUGGUGAUCCCCGCUGCCCCCCACUUCCCUACGCUGCAUGGGGGGCUCUGCCAUGAGCCCCCAGAAGCCCAGAGGUCUCUGCAGGAGCUGCCCCUCCCCCUACUUACCAGCAUGGAGUCUCGGUCCAGCUCCCUGCUGCAGCCAGCACAGACUGCCCAAAUCGCUGAAGCUCGCUGAAGCUCUCCAAAUCUUUUCUGCAUUGAUUCAGAGAGCUUUGAAUCAAUUCGGACCUUUUAAUUGGUCCCCUGAUUCAAUUCGGAUUCAGAGAUUUGGCCACUGAAUCAGACCCAAUCUCCUCCGAAUCAAAUCAGCACCAGAAGCUUCACACAGCCCUAAUAUUUAUGGAAAUCUGAGAUUCCCUUGCAUUCAUGUGAAGCUGGAACCUGGAGCUUCAAGAAAAGCACCUAAAACCCAGGAUAAAAAUCACAGGAGUUGGCAACAAAGAAUACAGGUAUUCUGGAAAUUAGCACUGUAUAGGUGCAACAGUGCAAAAAGAUGUGUUGGAGACUCAAGUUCUUCAUGAUUUUCCAAGAAAAGAAGGCUGACAUGCCAAGUCAAGUGCCACGAAUUGACAUAUUUACACUGAGGACUACAGUUGGAAGAAUAUUCAGAAGUUCUGAUUACUUCUGCAAUGUAAAUUAUCAUUUGUAACCUUCCCUAUUCCUCUUCCUUGUGAAGUUCAAAUGCUUUGAAACGGGGGCUCUCAAACUGAAGUCUGUAGCCUACCAAGUGUUGAUGGAGUUCUUCUUGCGGCCUGUGAAGAUCUAUUUCUUCAUUUGUUGCUGACUUCUCUUUAUUUCAAAUAAACUUGAUCUUAGCCCCAAAGGCUGUGCUAUAAUGA